rnacentral:rRNA from 1 species
GACGAACGCUGGCGGCGUGCCUAAUACAUGCAAGUCGAACGCAGUGGGGACGGGUGAGUAACACGUGGGUAACCUCCCAUCAGAGGGGAUAACACUUGGAAACAGGUGCUAAACCGAUACUGAUGGAUGGACCCGCGGUGCAUUAGCUAGUUGGUUGGGUAACGGCUCACCAAGGCCACGAUGCAUAGCCGCGCUGAGAGGGUGAUCGGCCACACUGGGACCUGUCCACGGCCCAGACUCCUACGGGAGGCAGCAGUAGGGAAUCUUCGGCUAUUGACGAAAUUCUGACCGAGCCACGCCGCGUUAGUGAAGAAGGUUUUCGUAUCUUAAAACUCUGUUGUUAGAUAAGCGGUAUCUAACCAGAAAGCCACGGCUAACUACGUGCCAGCAGCCGCGGUAAUUC